CUCGAGCUGUUUCGACCUAUUUUAAAAACCCUCGUUCGGUCCCCGAGACGUCUCCGCGACUAACGCGAGACGUCUCGCCGGGGGGACGUCUCUCCGAUUUGCCAGAGACGUCUCCGGCACUGAAAAAUUUCAGACUGAAUUCUAUCUUUUCCCAAUUUAUUUUAUUUAACCACACUAAUCAACAUGAUUUCUUUUGGUGAAUAUAGAGUGAGUUUGUUUGUGAUCCUUCCCUUUAAUAAUAUACCCUAUAAAAGUUUGAUAAUAAUUUUUUGAAUUAUUAAUAUUGAAAUGAGGAAUGUUUGACCAAAUUUCGAAUACCUAUGAAAUAGGCUCUAAAAAUAUCUCCAU
rnacentral:lncRNA from 1 species